UAUUACUAGUAUUUUUUUAAAGUGAACUUACAAGUCUCUCUUUAAACAGAACCCGAACAAGAUCAAGCCUCUUCUUGACUUGUUCCCCUAGCCUCACACGUCCUAAGAUCGAAUACAAGAUCUCUAGAACCUCUACCCCUUAGCCCUUAGUGUUAUUCACUCGCUUACGAGCUUAGUGAACUCCACUCUUAUGCUAAGAAUACAAUUCUCUCGACAACCCUAAUACACAUGUCGAGUAUGACUAUAUAUACAAUACAGCCAAGUCGGCUAUCCACGCCUAUCUACCCAAUAUUCACUAUCUACCCAAAUAAGGUAAGUUCCCUAAAAAUCUCUCCAAAGUCUUUAAGAACUUCCCAAUGUGAGAUCUCCCUUUUCCAAGGUGAAUCUCUUCAAGCUUGCUCCCCAAGAUGUCUUCACAUUAACUUCGCCUUGGUCCGCAAUCCAUUCUUCAAGUCACAAUCUUCAUCUUGACUUGUUCAUCCGCACGUACACUUCUCUGUUGCAGACUCUGCUCCAUUCACUGCUGUACUUGCGUCUGUAUCUAAAACGUCCAUCUGAUCUUUGGAUCUACAAUCUCCCCCUUUUAGCUUUGGAUGCCUCUCAAGUACCUAAACAGAUCCGCUCAAAAAACCACACACAUUCGAACACAUAUAUCCUGAAUAAUACGUGCAUUAAAAA
rnacentral:lncRNA from 1 species